AGUAGACCUUCGUCGUUCUUCAACAGCAGAACACCAGCGUCGCUUAUCAACAGCAGCGCUAAGCUAUGACAGGUUUGGAGCAACCCGAUUGUUCAAUAAAGGUAGGGGCCCGGCCAAGCACGGGCGUGGCCACCCUUUUGGUGCACGUGGCAGGUUUAAUGCGACGUAAUUGAUCGAUGGGGAAUAUGGACGGCAAGUAUGGGCCCAGCCACAACUCAUGGAAGCGUGGGCCUUAACCUUGGUACUUGGAGGUACGUGCUACUCUGCUGCGAGUGAACACAAAUCUGUCAUGCUAUACCAAUAUUAAGGGUUCUGCCGGGGAACAUAAGCACAACAAAAGUACUUAGCAGGCUCCGGCAUUUGAGGCAUGAGGAAUCCGUGAUCCUUGUAUUGGCGACUUUGCGUAACUCCGACUUGGCCAUAAGGUGCUGGGCAGAGAUGGCGCUGCAACUUGGUCCACGGAUCGGUGGAUGGCGCUAGCUGGCUAGGUCACGGAACGUAUGGAGAUGGCGCUUGGCUUCAGUCCGGGGAAUGGUGGAAACUGGCUUCAGUUCAUGGAAUGGUGGAAACUGGCUUCAGUCCAUGGAAUGGUGGAAACUUGCUUCAGUCCAUGGAAUGGUGGAAACUGGCUUCAGUCCAUGGAAUGGUGGAAACUGGCUUCCGUUCAUGGAAUGGUGGAAACUGGCUUCAGUCCAUGGAAUGGUGGAAACUGACUUCAGUCUGUGGAAUGGUGAAAAUAUGGCGCUGGAACUUUAGCUACCAAACGAUGAUGAAGGCGCUGGAACUUCGGCUACCAAAUGGUGAUGAUGGCGCUGAUGGCUUCAGUUCGUGGAAUGGUGGAAAUGGCACUUGGAAGGCUUGCUGGCUGGAUCACGGAAUGCUGGAGCGUUGGCGCUAA